GAAAAGUGUUUCAAGCAGGCCCUUCACCUUAAUUGUCUUCUCUUUGUUUUUCUGCUUCUGUUUCGAGUCUCCUUCUUCUCAAUUUCAACAUCGUCUUUGUCGACUUGGAAUUGCAGAAUCCAUCACCGAAAAUGACCUAUAACCAAAUCGUAUUGGCGCGUGAACCUUCGACGAAAUUAGGUCGACGCAGAAAUGAUGACGAAGGUGAUGUUGAAAGUAAUGCUUCUCAGCCGCAAUUAAGGAUGAAGAAUGCAGAAAUUCCGUUGAAGAUGGAGAUUGGACUGGAGCAGAUUUGAGGGAGAAUGGUGGUGAAGAUUGAAUGAGAUGAAGAAGAAGGUUGGAGCUUGGGAGAGUGAAGGGGAAGCUUGGAAUAUGAAGAAUCUAACCCUCCCCUGGUGGUUGUGAGGAGUGUUUAUAUAGUUUAGAAGUUGUAACCAAAUCAGGCAACGAAAGGCGGGCAGGUCAGUUAGCUUCGGGCAGAAUUACAGUGAACCGGACCAUUCUACAGCUGGUUCUUGCAUUAAGUUUGGCUGGAAACCCAAAGCGAGUUAUUGACCUAUUGGUUACGGGUUAGCUUAAUGGCUGCUGCGGAAUUCUAGUUGGAUACGACGAGGUUAUGUUUGGAAUUUCAAAUGCAUGAUUAUUGCCAUGGAUGUUCAAAUAAUGGAUGGUUGUUAAUGCGAGCCAAAUUCUACUAUGCUAAUCUGAUGCAGGGGCUGUUAUCGGAUUAGAUGUAUGGUGCUUUGGUGAUUUAUGGAACCUAAAGCAGGAUACAAUUCAGAAAAUCCAGUAGGGCGGGUGAAAUCAUGAUGCAAAGUGGAAUUUGGCACGUACUGAAAUUUGCUAGCAUUUGGAAUGGACUUGAAGAAACUUGGAAUGCUAUGAUCAUCAUGCUUGGAAUAGAUUUAGUUGGAGUUUAGUUUUUUUUUGUAUAAAUUAGUGGUUCUUGUGAGUUGUUGAUAAAUUUUAUUGUGAAUAUGAAUGUGUGUUUCUAAUUGAAGCAUAAAGGGACUUUGAAUAGAAAUUGUGGAUGAAAAUAUGAAAUCUUUUGUAAUCUUGGAAUUGAAAUCUGGUUUGUGGUUUGUAAUGGGAUGUUGAUUAAUGGGAAAUUAGUUGUAAUCUUCUUGAAAUGCACUAUUAUGAGCCGUGUUUGGUUCUGAUU